rnacentral:rRNA from 1 species
UACGUAGGGGGCGAGCGUUGUCCGGAUUUAUUGGGCGUAAAGAGCGUGUAGGCGGCCAGGUAGGUCUGCUGUGAAAACUCGAGGCUCAACCUCGAGACGUCGGCGGAAACCAUCUGGCUAGAGUCCGGAAGAGGAGAGUGGAAUUCCUGGUGUAGCGGUGAAAUGCGCAGAUAUCAGGAAGAACACCAAUGGCGAAAGCAGCUCUCUGGGACGGUACUGACGCUGAGACGCGAAAGCGUGGGGAGCGAACAGG